CAGUAGCCACGGGAAUACGUUGGGUGCGAGCGUUGUCCGGAAUUAUUGGGCGUAAAGGGAGCGCAGGCGGACAUAUAAGUCCAUCUUAAAAGUGCGGGGCUCAACCCCGUGAGGGGAUGGAAACUGUAUGCCUUGAGUGCAGGAGAGGAAAGCGGAAUUCCCAGUGUAGCGGUGAAAUGCGUAGAUAUUGGGAGGAACACCAGUGGCGAAGGCGGCUUUCUGGACUGCAACUGACGCUGAGGCUCGAAAGCCAGGGGAGCGAACGGGAUUAGAGACCCCUGUAGUCCCUGUCUCUUAUACA
rnacentral:rRNA from 1 species